rnacentral:rRNA from 1 species
GUAGUCCUGGCCGUAAACGAUGUCGACUUGGAGGUUGUGCCCUUGAGGCGUGGCUUCCGGAGCUAACGCGUUAAGUCGACCGCCUGGGGAGUACGGCCGCAAGGUUAAAACUCAAAUGAAUUGACGGGGGCCCGCACAAGCGGUGGAGCAUGUGGUUUAAUUCGAUGCAGCGCGAAGAACCUUACCUGGUCUUGACAUCCACGGAAGUUUUCAGAGAUGAGAAUGUGCCUCCGGGAACCGUGAGACAGGUGCUGCAUGGCUGUCGUCAGCUCGUGUUGUGAAAUGUUGGGUUAAGUCCCGCAACGAGCGCAACCCUUAUCCUUUGUUGCCAGCGGUCCGGCCGGGAACUCAAAGGAGACUGCCAGUGAUAAACUGGAGGAAGGUGGGGAUGACGUCAAGUCAUCAUGGCCCUUACGACCAGGGCUACACACGUGCUACAAUGGCGCAUACAAAGAGAAGCGACCUCGCGAGAGCAAGCGGACCUCAUAAAGUGCGUCGUAGUCCGGAUUGGAGUCUGCAACUCGACUCCAUGAAGUCGGAAUCGCUAGUAAUCGUGGAUCAGAAUGCCACGGUGAAUACGUUCCCGGGCCUUGUACACACCGCCCGUCACACCAUGGGAGUGGGUUGCAAAAGAAGUAGGUAGCUUAACCUUCGGGAGGGCGCUUACCACUUUGUGAUUCAUGACUGGGGUGAAGUCGUAACAAGGUAACCGUAGGGGAACCUGCGGCUGGAUCACCUCC